GGUGGUUACAGCAGGCACACCUUGCAGAACCUACCAAGGAGAGCCUCUAGACCCACCGCAUAUCAAUCACCUGGGCACCCGAUACGGGCCAGCAGCUAUCGACCUGCUGAGCACUGUAACUGAAGCAUCGGGGAACACCUUCUGCGCUGUGACGCGGCACUCGGGCCGGGGGGCGUGCUGCGGGCUGACUCCAUCUGGGUUGGGUUCUGUCAUUAGGUGGAAGCUACGACAUGCAAUUACACGACAUCACACUAUGCUUGUUUCUGUUUGCCGGUAGACGCAAGUGCGCAGCACGCGGUGGUUACAGCAGGCACACCUUGCAGAACCUACCAAGGAGAGCCUCUAGACCCACCGCAUAUCAACCACCUGGGCACCCGAUACGGGCCAGCAGCUAUCGACCUGCUGAGCACUGUAACUGAAGCAUCGGGGAACACUCCACACCUUUUUCACUUCGCAACCUCCGCAACCCUCCAGCCCACAUGAAACCUGCUGCUAACCCCCUCCCCCCUCAUCACCUAUCCACCUUCCGCUACCCC
rnacentral:lncRNA from 1 species